GACGUCACCCAUUGGUUUGUGGACUGCCGUUUUGAAGCGUCAAGUUUGGCUUAAUGUACGUCGCCAUCUUGGUUUUUUGGAGCCAGAAGAAACCAUAUUUGGAUGAAAAGGUGGAGCUGGGGAGGAAUGAGGGGUGGAUCUGACCCGUGUCCUCGAGGACACCAAGUACGCCCACCCGCAUCGGCAACCUGACGGCAACAGGCUCCUGGCUGAGACGUGCGAAGAUGCUGCUAACACGGUUCUGCAGAACAUGAACAGACUUCAGAACAGUUUCUCCCUCAAACCGUGGAUCUGCUUCAUGUAAACUGUGUCACACACUAAGACUGAUGAUGAGUAACGGCUCCUGGACUUUUUGCACCUUACCUCCAUCACUCAUGGACAACUGCAAUAGCUUACAGUCCUGUCAAUAGACUGUUGCACUAUCCUCACUUAGCUAUGAAGUAUUAAUUUAUGUGUCUAAUAUAAUUUAUACUUGUUACUAAAUAAGAUUUAUCCACCUCUCUUUAUUGUGUAAACUUGUCUUGUGAUGGUGAAGUUCACCUGUUCCUUCAUUCACAAUUGUAUUUUAUUUUUAAUUUGUCAGUUACAGUUUAUUGUAAAUUGCACACAUUAUUUAAUUCAUCCAUGUAUUACCUUCUUUUGUACAUCUCUCCAGUGGUGUAAAUUGUUGAAAUUAAUGCAGUUUUAAUGUGAAAUAAAGUUUUUUAUGAAGCUUUGCUUUGUUGAUGGUUUUUAUGGAGCAUGUCUGGUAUGAAUUUUAACAGUAGCAGCACGGUAUAGAAAUCACACAAUACAUUGAAGUUUUUCCUGAAUUUGUAAUUAAUCACAAGACUUUCUAUUUUGAACAGCUGGUCUGUCCUUUCAUCAGAGGAAGCUGAACAGGAAGUGGUUUUCUGGCAUCAUCAUCAUCAUCAUCAUCAUCAUCAUCAUCAUCACAGCUCAUUUGAAAACUAAGGAUGUCCAUGCAGUCUCCUUUGUCCAUACAUGAGGUUCUCCUUCUGUGGGCACCAGUCAUUCAGUUUUCAGUGUGGAUUCC